GACAGAGGGUGCAAACGUUGCUCGGAAUCACUGGGCGUAAAGGGCGUGUAGGCGGGAAGGAAAGUCAGAUGUGAAAUCCCCAGGCUCAACCUGGGAACUGCAUUUGAAACUCCCUUUCUUGAGUACCGGAGAGGAAAGUGGAAUUCCUGGUGUAGAGGUGAAAUUCGUAGAUAUCGAGAGGAACACCGGUGGCGAAGGCGGCCAACUGGACGAAGACUGACGCUGAGACACGAAAGCGUGGGGAGCAAACAGG
rnacentral:rRNA from 1 species